rnacentral:rRNA from 1 species
AAGACCUUGCGCUUUUGGAGCGGCCGAUGUCUGAUUAGCUUGUUGGUGAGGUAAAGGCYUACCAAGGCUUCGAUCAGUAGCUGGUCUGAGAGGACGGCCAGCCACACUGGGACUGAGACACGGCCCAGACUCCUACGGGAGGCAGCAGUGGGGAAUUUUGGACAAUGGGGGCAACCCUGAUCCAGCCAUGCCGCGUGAGUGAAGAAGGCCUUCGGGUUGUAAAGCUCUUUCAGCCGGAAMGAAACGGUURCGGUUAAUACCCGUGACUACUGACGGUACCGGAAGAAGAAGCACCGGCUAACUACGUGCCAGCAGCCGCGGUAAUACGUAGGGUGCGAGCGUUAAUCGGAAUUACUGGGCGUAAAGCGUGCGCAGGUGGUUUUGUAAGUCAGAUGUGAAAUCCCCGGGCUUAACCUGGGAACU